ACCGAUUGGUGCUUUCCUGAAGUCGUGGUAUAAUGCAUCUGCAGGACGCCCCUGCAUGUCGACAUGCCCAAACAUUGCGUGUAGCUCUCCUAGCUAGAUUGAUGCUCAGUACUAGUAUUUUCUCUAGCCAGAUGCAUGGCGGCAGGGUUACCUGCAUGCAUGUGUAUGUACCUAGACAGCAAUCUGUACUAUUAUGGUGGAAGGGCCCCCUAUAGCUGUGGCUAGUUUUCUCACGUAGCUAUAGGUCUGGGAGGCCAGGCACAUCAUGCUCAGGCGUACCAAGCCCAGGCAAGCGGGAGAGGAUGUUAAUAAACUGCCUCACUCGCGACCGGCACCACCAUAAUGGCCAUUGAUGUCCACUCCCAUGAGGCCCCCGGCUUUUACAGACGGCCCCACACUUGCGUGGAGCUUGUAGAAUGUAACCUGGUGAUCUCAACAUCGGCAGAUAAGCCAUCUCUUAAAGGACAAAGAUUUGUGAUCACAAGGUUGCAGGUUCAAAUCUGGCAUGGAGCAAAAAUGGUCCUGCAAAUGCAACUGACAUUAGCCAGCUUUCUAUCUGGCCAUGUAUCAUGGUAAACUGUCCAAAAAACUUGAAAAGUGGGGCGGAUGACUUCUAAUAGGGUGCUGGAAUGUGAGUUGGUCGAACAAACAUCGAAACCGUGUUCCAGUACUGGUGGAUGAUGUCGGUAGUUAGGCAACACGGGAUAUAGGGGCUGCCGGUGCAUAUACAGAUUAAAAUAACUGUUGACUACUAGCGACUCUCAACCCUUUCAUCGCUGAUGCACACCGUAAUUCACACAUAUUAUGCAUGCAGGUUACGAUUAUUAUUAGCAAAGAGUUGCGGAUUCUUUACAGAAUCUCUGCAGCAUCCAUUUAUCACGGAUGCAUGGGCAAGCAUUUGGUGUGGAUGCUGUGGUCCUUGCUCCCGACAGGAGGCCUUCAAAGCAUCUCUUGGAAGAGGUGUGUGUAUUCAAUCCUUCGCUAUAGUCUAGGCGGUUAGGAUGCGAGAUUCUCACUCUCGAGACCCGGGUUCGAGUCCCGGUAGCGAAAGGAUGAAUUAUGGAGUCGUGCUGAAGUAGGCACGUCACAGAGGGUCGACAUCGUAUAGUGGUCAGUAUCCCCGCCUGUCAGGACUCGAGCCAAGACACGGAACGCGGGAGGCCGGGGUUCGAUUCCCCGUGUCGGCGGUUUUCAUCUCCACGACCGAGGUUCUUCAUGGUGGUUUCGCUGAACCACCAUCCUAGAACACUUGUGUUCACCACCUCUUCAAGGACACCUAUUUGCGCAUGCUUGCCUGGAUACAUAUCCAUAAAACAUCAAAAGAUGAAACCGAAACCUGGUAUCACACCUGGUAUCCAAGGAUGUGGUAUGGCAUGGUAGCAUGUGCAUGCUGUGUAUAGAGGGCCAUGUUGACAACAUAUUCCUGACGAGCUCGAGGUGGCAAUCGUGACUAUUGUAGGGCCGUAGGGCCACCGACACACCCAUGUCGUACCUUUGAUGCUCGCAUCCCCAGAAUAGCAACUAGCUUAUAAACUAUGUCGUAAAGCCAAACAUGCAUGGUGCCGUUUCAGUGCUGGCUACAUCAAGGAAAAACGAGUAGUAAUACCUUAAUACGGGCAGAAGGGGGAACAACUAUAUAGCACAAAUGAUCCAGUGGAUUGUUUUUCUUGUGUUGUGUGUGUGUGUGUGUGUAUGUGUGUGUGUGUGCCUCUGCUGGAUACAUUUAUACCAACCCAGCGAGUGUUUGGUGCUCCCUGCUGUUUAUUCCCGAGUUCUCUUUAACAGAUCAUUCCUCCCUUCCUGCCUGGGUGUCGUUGGCAUGUGACAGAGCGCACAAUACCUAGGACAUACACCUGGACCUGGCAACCAACCAACCAACCAACACACACACACACACUCUUUGGGCAUGUCAAACAACGAACUAGAUGGAUAGAGCACAUGCAUAGGUGUGCCUUCAAUAAGGAGGUACCGAAAAUCCAGCGUUGCCAACCUCGUAUAUAUAGGACAUACAUAAUAUAACAGUACACAUGUACAUGGGCAAGUGGGCAAACAGGAAAGCUGUAACCGUUUUUGUGUUUGUUUCGCAGUCUUUGGAUUUAUGAGUAGUAGACUGCAGUAUUGAUAGCCGUAGCUCAUAUGUUAUGAGCGGAGGCCUAUGCCGAGUUCGAUGUCCGGUUGUCCGUCCGGUUGUACGGAGCGUUUUAGAAAUUCCGGGUCGGGAGCGUGCCGUACGCGCUCAAGACAGCGCCGUAUAGAACGGAGGGUCGCCGGUUCGACCCCUAGCGUGAUUAUGUUUUUUGUUUUAUAUAUUGCACGUAUGCAUAUGCAUAUGCAAUUCAAUACAUAUAUAUGCAUAUAUUUGCAUAUGCAUAUGCAUAUAUUUGCAUAUGCAUAUGCAUAUUUGCAUAUGCAUAUGCAAAGUUUUUAUGUUUUAUAUAUGCAUAUAUGCUAUGCUAUGCUACGCUAUGCUAUGCUAUGCUAUGCUAUGCUAUGCUGCGCCAAAGCUAUGCUAUGCUAUGCUAUGCUAUGCUAUGCUGCGCCAAAGCUAUGCUAUGCUAUGCUAUGCUAUGCUAUGCUAUGCUAUGCUAUGCUAUGCUGCGCCAAAGCUAUGCUAUGCUAUGCUAUGCUAUGCUAUGCUAUGCUAUGCUAUGCUAUGCUGUGCUAUGCUAUGCUAUGCUAUGCUAUGCUAUGCUAUGCUAUGCUAUGCUAUGCUAUGCUAUGCUAUGCUAUGCUUAAGCUACGCUAUGCUAUGCUGCGCUACGCUAUGCUAUGCUAUGCUGCGCUACGCUAUGCUGCGCUAUGCUAUGCUGCGCUAUGCUAUGCUAUGCUAUGCUAUGCUGCGCUAUGCUAUGCUAUGCUAUGCUAUGCUGCUCUAUNNNNNNNNNNNNNNNNNNNNNNNNNNNNNNNNNNNNNNNNNNNNNNNNNNNNNNNNNNNNNNNNNNNNNNNNNNNNNNNNNNNNNNNNNNNNNNNNNNNNNNNNNNNNNNNNNNNNNNNNNNNNNNNNNNNNNNNNNNNNCGCCCACUUAGCAAGGCACUUGCUUGCUUUAGGAAAAGCAACGAAACUGCAUUCAGCUAGUGUGCAGUAUACUUGGCAUCAGAGUUGUGGGAUGACAUGGAAAACAGAGCUGUUGGGGGUGGGCGGCCCAAAGUCAAGUAGCAAAGGCAGUUGCAUUAGCAACAGCAAGGAAACUGCACUACAAUGCGCUAGUGCGUGGUAGACUUGGCAUCCGAACUGUGACACGACAUGGAAAACCCAGCUGCUGAGGUGCUGUCACCGUAGGAUGACAACCGCAGCUGCUGCAGGUUUGAUGGCCGGAAGCCAGCGAUCUGCUGGGAGUGCCUGUGGGAGUGCCUGUGGGACUACAUGGACCAAAAUCCAAUGCCGCACACGAUGCGAUUCGAACGCACGCGGGGAAACCUCACCGCCUUAGCAGGGCGGCGCCUUAACCACUCGGCCACAGGUGCACAGCAAUCCGCAAGCUCCAGAUUGCUGCUGAAGUUGAGCUAAUAUUGGGGACACACCCUAGCUGUCAGUAACUCCAAGUUCGACAUGAUGACGUAACAUGAUGACGUAACAAAAGCAACAAUAAACAAAUGACGCACAAACAAGCAAGGAUGCCACACAUAUCUAUUUGCUAGCUCCAUGAAAGGAACCAGAACCUGUCAGCAACACCGUACCAUGCUACCAGGGAAAGCUGUCACAUCUACAGCCCCGUCAUAUCAUGCAUCAGUUUGUCGUCAUUAAGAGAGCACCCAGACUCUGGGUGCCAUGGCUGUGGCAUGUAUCAUCCAUCCAAUCCCCUUUUUCGUUCUGAACUUAUACCAUCCCCAAUCGCCGCAUCUCAACGCACAACAGGCCAGGAUGCCCUAUUCAUGAUUUGCAAGUUGACCAACAACCCGCAAGAAGCGUGCAUAAUACUCAAUGACUUAACAGCCGUACGCGGGAGCCUUGUACGACAGGGCAAGUUCAAGCCGUACGGCGAGCGGUUGGCUGUGGAAUUCGUACAUGCAAGGGGCCGAGCGCGCGCCUAGUGUCUGUCUGUCUGUCUGUCUGUCUGUCUGUCUGUCUGUCUGUCUGUCUGUCUGUCUGUCUGUCUGUCUGUCUGUCUGUCUGUCUGUCUGUCUGUCUGUCUGUCUGUCUGUCUGUCUGUCUGUCUGUCUGUCUGUCUGUCUGUCUGUCUGUCUGUCUGUCUGUCUGUCUGUCUGUCUGUCUGUCUGUCUGUCUGUCUGUCUGUCUGUCUGUCUGUCUGUCUGUCUGUCUGUCUGUCUGUCUGUCUGUCUGUCUGUCUGUCUGUCUGUCUGUCUGUCUGUCUGUCUGUCUGUCUGUCUGUCUGUCUGUCUGUCUGUCUGUCUGUCUGUCUGUCUGUCUGUCUGUCUGUCUGUCUNNNNNNNNNNNNNNNNNNNNNNNNNNNNNNNNNNNNNNNNNNNNNNNNNNACAAUAAUGGCAUUGAUGUCACUCCCAUGAGGCCCCCGGCUUUUACAGACGGCCCCACACUUGCGUGGAGCUUGUAGAAUGUAACCUGGUGAUCUCAACAUCGGCAGAUAAGCCAUCUCUUAAAGGACAAAGAUUUGUGAUCACAAGGUUGCAGGUUCAAAUCUGACAUGGAGCAAAAAUGGUCCUGCAAAUGCAACUGACAUUAGCCAGCUUUCUAUCUGGCCAUGUAUCAUGGUAAACUGUCCAAAAAACUUGAAAAGUGGGGCGGAUGACUUCUAAUAGGGUGCUGGAAUGUGAGUUGGUCGAACAAACAUCGAAACCGUGUUCCAGUACUGGUGGAUGAUGUCGGUAGUUAGGCAACACGGAUAUAGGGGCUGCCGGUGCAUAUACAGAUUAAAAUAACUGUUGACUACUAGCGACUCUCAACCCUUUCAUCGCUGAUGCACACCGUAAUUCACACAUAUUAUGCAUGCAGGU
rnacentral:lncRNA from 1 species